rnacentral:rRNA from 1 species
UACGUAGGGUGCGAGCGUUAAUCGGAAUUACUGGGCGUAAAGCGUGCGCAGGCGGUUUUGUAAGCCAGAUGUGAAAUCCCCGGGCUUAACCUGGGAAUGGCAUUUGGGACUGCAAGGCUGGAGUGUGGCAGAGGAGACUGGAAUUCCCGGUGUAGCAGUGAAAUGCGUAGAUAUCGGGAGGAACAUCAGUGGCGAAGGCGACACCCUGGACUCAUACUGACACUGAGGUGCGAAAGCGUGGGGAGCAAACAGG